rnacentral:rRNA from 1 species
CCUACGGGUGGCUGCAGUGGGGAAUAUUGGACAAUGGGCGAAAGCCUGAUCCAGUCAUGCCGCGUGUGUGAAGAAGGCCUUCGGGUUGUAAAGCACUUUCAGUGGGGAAGAAAGCCUUGGGGCUAAUACCCUCGAGGAAGGACAUCACCCACAGAAGAAGCACCGGCUAACUCCGUGCCAGCAGCCGCGGUAAUACGGAGGGUGCGAGCGUUAAUCGGAAUUACUGGGCGUAAAGCGCGCGUAGGCGGUCUGAUAAGCCGGUUGUGAAAGCCCCGGGCUCAACCUGGGAACGGCAUCCGGAACUGUCAGGCUAGAGUGCAGGAGAGGAAGGUAGAAUUCCCGGUGUAGCGGUGAAAUGCGUAGAGAUCGGGAGGAAUACCAGUGGCGAAGGCGGCCUUCUGGACUGACACUGACGCUGAGGUGCGAAAGCGUGGGUAGCAAACAGGAUUAGAUACCCGAGUAGUC